CAGUAGCCGCGGGAAUACGAAGGGUGCAAGCGUUAAUCGGAAUUACUGGGCGUAAAGCGCGCGUAGGUGGUUCAUUAAGUUGGAUGUGAAAGCCCUGGGCUCAACCUGGGAACUGCAUCCAAAACUGGUGAGCUAGAGUACGGUAGAGGGUAGUGGAAUUUCCUGUGUAGCGGUGAAAUGCGUAGAUAUAGGAAGGAACACCAGUGGCGAAGGCGGCUUACUGGCUCAUACUGGACGCUGAGGUGCGAAAGCGUGGGGAGCAAACAGGAUUAGAUACCCCCGUAGUCCCUGUCUCUUAUAC
rnacentral:rRNA from 1 species